rnacentral:rRNA from 1 species
CCUACGGGAGGCAGCAGUGGGGAAUAUUGGACAAUGGGCGAAAGCCUGAUUCAGCCAUGCCGCAUGAGUGAAGAAGGCCUUUGGGUUGUAAAGCUCUUUUAGUGAGGAAGAUAAUGACGGUACUCACAGAAGGAGUCCUGACUAACUCCGUGCCAGCAGCCGCGGUAAU